UACGAAGGGGGCUAGCGUUGCUCGGAAUGACUGGGCGUAAAGGGCGCGUAGGCGGUUUGUACAGUCAGGUGUGAAAUUCCCGGGCUCAACCUUGGAACUGCCUUUGAUACUGACGAUCUGGAGAUUGGGAGAGGUGAGUGGAAUUCCGAGUGUAGAGGUGAAAUUCGUAGAUAUUCGGAGGAACACCAGAAGCGAAGGCGGCUCACUGGCCCAAUACUGACGCUGAGGCGCGAAAGCGUGGGGAGCAAACAGG
rnacentral:rRNA from 1 species